rnacentral:antisense_RNA from 1 species
ACACUUGGCAGUUACACACACAAUGAGCAAAAUUCUCUGUGCUUCCGAGAAGACAGCCCCUCAGGAUUUGAAAGCUUGAAUGCCGCUGAGGGCACCUCCCACUCCAGAGUAAUGGCUUUCUUCUCCAACUGAAGAUUAACUGUGAUGGUGAGCAAACGUUUGGCUUUUUUUAAAAAAAAAAAAAAAAAAGAAAAGGAAAACGCGACAGCCAAGCAGACCACUCCCGGAGGCAGCAAGCAACUUCGAGCUCCCAGUUAUUCAGCUGUCCUCGCUCAUCACCCAAGCCGAGGACCCGAGCAUCCAGUCUGCAUUCUCACUGCAGCAGAGCCUGGCCAAUCACCUCUGCCGACACUACCAAGUUCAUUAUUCCUACCAGCACCAGCCCUCCAAUCACAGGCAGCUGAUUGCCUGCAUGAAGCCCGGCAAUUCUGCAGGGAGGUGCGGACUCAAGCUCCAGAUGAGGCUCAGCUUACAGAAUCCACUCUGAGCUGGCUCCGUAGCAAAAGUAACUCCCUGCCCUCCACCCGGGUUGCUUCCAGAAGGCAUUCACCAUCAAGUGCAACACCAUCAACAGUCCUUGGCAGCAUGUCCUAAGAGCAUUCUAGAAACAUUUUUCCUUGUUUCAAGAUCCAGUUUUCUCCAGCAGAGCACAUGCCACAUCACAGCAGCUACUUCUGCUGCGUCUCCCUCCAGAAGAUGAGCUGCCUGGGGGCAGGGACCAAGUCACAGACCUUUCUACCCCUAGGACCAGGCACAGAUUAAGUCUG